GGUUUGUUGUGUGAUAGUACAUAUAUGUCUGAAUCCAAAUAUAUGUUGUUAUUCUAAAGUUCAUACAUAUUAUUAAUGUGAUAAAUAACUCUCUGUCAUAUACUAUCCUUGGAAAUGUUUUCUCUAAAUGUAAUAUCAAUGAACUACAAAAAUGUAUAUAUCUACUUCUAAAGUAAUUGCUUUUACUACAGGAAAUCAUUUUAUAACAGUAGACCAUGGAUCAUCAGGGGCGGAUCCAGCUAUUUUCAAAGGAAGGAUUCCCAACCCAUGAUAAAAAGGGGGGUCAAACCAUAUGUCCCCAUUCAAAUGCAUUGAUUGUCCAAAAAAAAAGGGGUGAUUCUGACCCCCAGAACCCCCUUCCAUUUUGGAUCAGCCACUGAUCAUUUUCAAUAGAUAAUAAAGUAAUAAAAAUAUCUUUCUUUUCUGGCAACUUCUUUUCAACUUUCUUUAAUUUAAAUCAUUCUGAAUAAAAUUUUAAACAAAACACUUCUGCAUGCUGUAAAGCCUGUAAUUAAGUUUUAUUUAAGAA
rnacentral:lncRNA from 1 species